AUGAACGCUAGCUACAGGCUUAACACCUGCAAGUCGAGGGGAAACGACAUCGAAAGCUUGCUUUUGAUGGGCGUCGACCGGCGCACGGGUGAGUAACGCGUAUCCAACCUGCCCACCACUUGGGGAUAACCUUGCGAAAGUAAGACUAAUACCCAAUGAUAUCCCACGAAGACAUCUGAAUGGGAUUAAAGAUUUAUCGGUGAUGGAUGGGGAUGCGUCUGAUUAGCUUGUUGGCGGGGUAACGGCCCACCAAGGCAACGAUCAGUAGGGGUUCUGAGAGGAAGGUCCCCCACAUUGGAACUGAGACACGGUCCAAACUCCUACGGGAGGCAGCAGUGAGGAAUAUUGGUCAAUGGGCGAGAGCCUGAACCAGCCAAGUAGCGUGCAGGAAGACGGCCCUAUGGGUUGUAAACUGCUUUUAUAAGGGAAUAAAGUGGGUCACGUGUGACUUUUUGCAUGUACCUUAUGAAUAAGGACCGGCUAAUUCCGUG
rnacentral:rRNA from 1 species